rnacentral:rRNA from 2 species
CGAAUGAGGAGAUUCAUCGUCAGCUUAUUCAGUAUUAAUGCAGGCUAUGAUGUGAUAAUAGAAUCCUUGUGGUCACUAGAUUAUACUUGCUUGUAUUAUUUUUGCUGGGUAUGUCGGCGUGCACUUCUCCUCUAGUAGAACGUCGCAACCCGUUGGAUGUUUAUCUAUGGCUUGAAUGGUAGCCUUUGAUAUUUUUUAUAUUGAAGACCUUCGAUGUCCUGAUAAACUGUUUGACGGUAUACAUAUGGUAUUGAGCCGCAAUUAUUUGCGUUAGACUUGCCGCAAGUAUGACUUUAUUCUAGUAGUGCGGAUCUAAUGCCGUCGCUGGACAAAGUCUGCUGUUAGCUGUGUA